AUUGAACGCUGGCGGCAGGCCUAACACAUGCAAGUCGAGCGGAAACGAGAAUAGCUUGCUAUUCGGCGUCGAGCGGCGGACGGGUGAGUAAUGCCUGGGAAAUUGCCCUGAUGUGGGGGAUAACCAUUGGAAACGAUGGCUAAUACCGCAUAAUAGCUUCGGCUUAAAGAGGGGGACCUUCGGGCCUCUCGCUUCAGGAUAUGCCCAGGUGGGAUUAGCUAGUUGGUGAGGUAAAGGCUCACCAAGGCGACGAUCCCUAGCUGGUCUGAGAGGAUGAUCAGCCACACUGGAACUGAGACACGGUCCAGACUCCUACGGGAGGCAGCAGUGGGGAAUAUUGCACAAUGGGCGCAAGCCUGAUGCAGCCAUGCCGCGUGUAUGAAGAAGGCCUUCGGGUUGUAAAGUACUUUCAGCAGUGAGGAAGGGUGUGUAGUUAAUAGCUGCAUACUUUGACGUUAGCUGCAGAAGAAGCACCGGCUAACUCCGUGCCAGCAGCCGCGGUAAUACGGAGGGUGCGAGCGUUAAUCGGAAUUACUGGGCGUAAAGCGCAUGCAGGUGGUUUGUUAAGUCAGAUGUGAAAGCCCGGGGCUCAACCUCGGAACCGCAUUUGAAACUGGCAGGCUAGAGUACUGUAGAGGGGGGUAGAAUUUCA
rnacentral:rRNA from 1 species